AUGACAUACAUUUCUCUGUUUUUAAGUAUAUGUUUAUAAAUUUCUAUUUUGCCAUCUUUCCAUGAAUUGUAUUAGUGAUUAUUAAGAAAAUACAUCUUUUGUAUGUAUUCAGAGGGGGUGUGCUCAUUUAUGCUGUGCACUGUACAUAUUCCUUUCAACUGCUGCAAACUUUAAACUGUUCUUAUCAUCCUUUCAGCCAAGAAUGACUCAGACACAGAGGUGAAUUCAAGUGGCCUGAAGGAAAACGAUGGUGACUCAGAUAUGAGCAGUGAUGAAGCUGACAGCCCCAGCAGGUAUGAGGGGGCGGAGUUUAAGAGUUCUCUGAGAAACUUUGAACUGUCUGAAAGCAAAAGGACACGCCUCCGAGAACUUGAGGUGAAGGUGAUGAAUUUCCAGGAUGAGUUGGAAUCGAGUAAGAGACAGAGGAAGUCCAGUAUGACUCUCCAACAGCAAGUUCAACACUACAGAAACAGACUGCUACAGAAGGAGUUUGACAAGGACGACCAGGAAAAGAAAGACAAAUAUUCACAAAAACAGAAAGACCGGUCCAAAAAAGACGAGCGGAGAGAUAAAGGGGAGGACAGGAGUAAAACAAGGGAUAAAGAAAAAAGUAGAAAGAGUGAGGACCGAGAAAGGAGUAGAGGAAGGAGUCGAGACAAAGAAGAGAGGAGAGAGAGGUAUGCACUCAUCUCUCUCUCUCACACACACACACACACACACACACACAGAGUUUAUUACAUUCCAUUAUCAUUCAAAAACAAUUAUUCACAAUACCUUGACCCAGCACAAUGCAUCAAGUUUUCAGCGACAAGUAAUUUUGUCCCCUUGGAAUUAUAAGGUUCUAUCUGACAUUUUUGUCAAAAUUAAGUUAUUCACAUAUUCUUAUUCUGUGACAACUUGUAUACAUAAUGUGAUAGAUUUUUUAAUGUUGUGUAAUUUUAGGCCUUUUUAUUUAAAAAAACAAAAAGGUUCUAUCUACACAGUCGAACUUUGAAGCUCAAUAUCUCAAAAUUACUCGGAAUGCAGAUAGAACAUUAUAAUACCAAGGGGACGAUUUGUCUAUUCACACUAAAAUCAAACAACACUUACAGCCAAUCAGAGCAGAGACUACCGUUCAAAUGUUUGGGGUUGGUAAGAUUUUUUUGAAAUGUUUUUAAAAAACCCACAUC
rnacentral:lncRNA from 1 species